rnacentral:rRNA from 1 species
AGUGCCCUAAGGAAUGAGCGGUAACUGGGAUGAAGUCGUAACAAGGUAGCCGUAGGGGAACCUGCGGCUGGAUCACCUCCUUUCUAAGGAGCAAGU